rnacentral:rRNA from 1 species
GACGAACGCUGGCGGCGUGCCUAAUACAUGCAAGUAGGACGCAGUUGCGAACGGGAGAGUAACGCGUAGGUAACUACCUAUUAGAGGGGGAUAACUAUUGGACACGAUAGCUAAUACCGCAUACUAGUAGAUGGACCUGCGUUGUAUUAGCUAGUAGGUAGGGUAAUGGCCUACCUAGGCAACGAUACAUAGCCGAUCUGGCAGGGUGAUCGGCUCCACUGGCACUGUGACACGGCCCUGACUCCCACGGGAGGCAGCGGUGAGGAAUCUUCGGCAAUGGGGGGAACCCUGACCGAGCAACGCCGCGUGAGUGAAGAAGGGUUUCGGAUCUUAAAGCUCUGUUGUUCAGGAGGCGGUACUUAGCCAGAAAGGGACGGCUAACUACGUGCCAGCAGCCGCGGUAAUAC